AAGACUAUAGACCUGCGGAGUACCUGCGGAGGGAUCAUUACCGAGUUUACAACUCCCAAACCCCAAUGUGAACAUUACCUUUACUGUUGCUUCGGCGGGAUCGCCCCGGGCGCGGCCGAGAGGCCCAGCCCCGGAUCCAACGUGCGCCCGCCGGAGGACCCCAGACUCCAUGUUUCUUGCAAGGUAUUUCUGAGCUGCUCCUAGCGAGCAAAACAAAAAAUGAAUCAAAACUUUUAACAA
rnacentral:misc_RNA from 1 species